rnacentral:lncRNA from 1 species
GUAGAUACGUUUUCUUCUUCUCUUUUUGCUAUAGAACCUUCCAACAAUUAUGAAAAUAUUGGAAUUCUAAAAUAUGAUUCACGUAGACUGAUUUUUCUAUUGAACCUUCCAACAAUCCUAAUAUAUGAUUCACGCUGAUUAAUAUUUUGAAAAUGAUAUUAUUCUUUGUUUGUAAAGGUUUAUUAAUUUUGUCCAGCCUGUGUGAGAUAUGUUCCUCUAUGGCCUCCACAAUUCCCAUCUUUGCCCUUUGCUGCACAAUGCGUCUGAAGUCUACAGUCCCAUUCCGUGUCUCUGCUCUGUCGUCAUGGCUGCCGCCAGCGAAGAUAAAGCUCGAUUCCAUUCCAAUGGUUAGUUUCUCCGUAUUUUCACUUUAGGUCUCUCGCAUUCUGAUUAUUUUCAAA